AAAGGUGACUUUGCAGAUGUGAUUAAGGUCACCAACCUUGAGAUGGGGAGAUUAUCCUGGAUAAUCUGGGUGGGGCCACUCUAAUCACAUGAGUCUUGAAAGAGAAGAAACUUUCUCAGCUGUGGACAUAGAACCAGAGAGGUGGCAGUGGCAGCAUGAGAAGAAUUCAACUUGCUGCGUUGGCGAGGAAGACGGAAGAAGGAGGUCACAAAGCAUGGAAUGCAGGCAGCCCAGCAGCUGGGAAAAGCAAGAAAAUGGAUUCUCCCUCAGAGCCUCUAGAAGGGAGGGCGGCCUUACCAACAUCUUAAUUUUAGUCCAGUGAUACCCAUGUCGGACUUCUGACCUAAAGAACUGCAAGUUCUUCCAUUCCUCAAUGAUCGCC
rnacentral:lncRNA from 10 species